AUUAUUUUUUGGAAUUCCGUACAUCGCCAUAGAGUAGUUGAAAAACAAAAAGGGGUUCCGAAAGUACAAGUUGUUGCUGUGACUGAAUCGAUGAUAGAGAGGGUCGUCUCGACGAAAGAUAUAGAAAUUUGGCCAUAGUUUAGAUUAGGAAUACGUCAAUGUAAUAAUAGUGGACUAAAUGUUUCGUCCGUGCAGAAUGGCACUUUUUACCUCACGAAAUUCACCACCAUGCAUAGCUGCGCUACGUAAACAAAGUUGUUGAUGUAGCGUGAUCGUGAUGUCCGAGUGCUGCGAGUUUCAAUACUGUUUAUGUAGUCAUUGAGAGUUUAAACAAAGUUUCUUCUGAGAAGAGGAAUUCGAUGGAUGCAUUCAACGUGGACAACGAAAUCAUAAUUUCGUUUGCAUCAUCCUAAGGACCAGUGCAAGUUGAAGUGGGCUUCCAGCCAACAACUUCAACAGCAAUUUGCCAUGAAAAUCAGCAAGAAAGGUACUUCAUUUACAUUGAUGAUGUCAUAUCCCCUGGACCCCACAACUUUACAGGUUACAGAGAAAAUUCAAGAACUUCUGCACAAUGUGGGACUCGGAUAGAAUCAAUAAUGUAUUUGUGAGCCCAGAUAUAUUGUGCAACAUACUAAAGUGUGAAUUUAAUGGAAAACAAGUACAUGUACUCAUGUAUUACAUGUCUUUUUUAAAGACAAUAAUAUUGUAUAAAUAUAGAGGAAGUGUCAUUGUUGAUUAUUCUAAGUUUUUGAUAUACCAAAAUCAGUAAACAUUUGUAAAUGAAAAUAAAAUACCAAUUUUAUAACUUUAA